AGAAAGUAGUUCUUCAGCUGUCCAUUGCUUUCCUAGGGAGGUGGGACUCUUGAAACUGUUAGUACCGCUGAGCAAACGAUCAGAGUUUGGUCCUGGUUCAGGAUUGGUUUAAUGUGUCUUCUGUUGUAGAUAUUUCUGUUGUGGAUUAACAAUACGACUGGAGGCAGCAACCCAAAGCUGAUGAGAAGAGGUCAUGACAAAGGUCAUACUAAUAGAGCAACAGAUGGUUCUGGUGGAGUUAGCAACUUAAUCUUCAAGGUGACCACAGGUGGCGUUGGUGAAUAUAAAGUUUUUUAGGUGGUACAAGGCUCCGAGGGCAAAGUGCAAUAGAUUUUUUCUGUUUUGCACUCAAGCUGCCAAAUCCUCCACCGCUGAUGUAAGAGCUGACUUCAUCCACUUCCUGUCAACGCUUCAUGGGGGGAAGCAAGAAAAAAGCCCCAGAUCUU